CUUCGCGCGCGCGCAGCCCUGCAGCGCAGCUUUGGCGGCGCCAGCAGCGGAGCCAACGCACCCGAGUUUGUGCUUGAGGCCACCCUGAGGAUCGGGACAGCUGUUCCUUUGGGCUGCAGAAACUCCGCUGAGCAGAACUUGCCGCCAGAAUGCUCCUCCUGUUGCUGAGUAUCAUCGUCCUCCACGUCGCGGUGCUGGUGCUGCUGUUCGUCUCCACGAUCGUCAGCCAAUGGAUCGUGGGCAAUGGACACGCAACUGAUCUCUGGCAGAACUGUAGCACCUCUUCCUCAGGAAAUGUCCACCACUGUUUCUCAUCAUCGCCAAAAGGUCCAGUCACAUCUUCUAUGCCUAUCUCAGCUGCUGACAUGUGACUCAGCUACUCCCAUUUUCCUUGGAAAAGUAGGAGCUGGAAAGGACCUUAGAGGUCAUUCACAUCAACCAUCUCAUUUCACUGAUGAGGAAACUGAGACUUGGACCAGUGGAAGUCAGCUGCCAUGUUGUGAGGACACUCAAGCAAUCCUAUGGAGAGGCCCACGUGAUGAGCAACUGAAGCCUCCUGCCAACAGCCACGUGAGGGCACCAUCAUGGAAGCAGAUCCUCCAACUCCACCCAAGCCUUCAGAUGAAUAUAGCCCUGACCGACAUCUUCACUACAAUCUCAUGAGAGAAACCGAGCCAGCACUACCUAGCUAAGAUGCUGCCAAGUUCCUGACCCAUAGAAACUGUGAGAUAAUAAAUGCUUGUUGUGUUAAGCCACUAAGUUUUGCAGAAAUUUGUUACUCAGCAAUAACUAACACGAGAGUUAGCUGAAGGUCACAUUCUUGUUGAGUAGUGGAAAGGGUUUUGUUAACCUUUUACCCACUGUGGUUCACUUGAUAAAUGAUAGAUAAAUAAAGAAUGAAAAUGAGCACAAAA